UCUACGGGUGGCAGCAGUGAGGAAUAUUGGUCAAUGGGCGGAAGCCUGAACCAGCCAAGUAGCGUGCAGGAUGACGGCCCUACGGGUUGUAAACUGCUUUUAUACGGGAAUAACGCGCCUUACGUGUAGGGCUUUGCAUGUACCGUAUGAAUAAGGACCGGCUAAUUCCGUGCCAGCAGCCGCGGUAAUACGGAAGGUCCGGGCGUUAUCCGGUUUUUGUGGGUUUAAAGGGAGCGUGGGCCGCAGGGCAAGCGUGCUGUGAAAUGGCCGGGCGCAACCCGGGCCUUGCAGCGCGUCCGGGCGUGCUUGAGUCCGCGGAAGGCAGGCGGAAUUCGUCGUGUAGCGGUGAGAUGCUUAGAUAUGACGAAGAACCCCGAUUGCGAAGGCAGCUUGCUGCAGCGGAACUGACGCUGAUGCUCGAAAGCGCGGGUAUCGAACAGGAUUAGAUACCCUAGUAGUC
rnacentral:rRNA from 1 species